GAUGAACGCUGGCGGCGUGCCUAAUACAUGCAAGUCGAGCGAACAGACGAGGAGCUUGCUCCUCUGACGUUAGCGGCGGACGGGUGAGUAACACGUGGAUAACCUACCUAUAAGACUGGGAUAACUUCGGGAAACCGGAGCUAAUACCGGAUAAUAUAUUGAACCGCAUGGUUCAAUAGUGAAAGACGGUUUUGCUGUCACUUAUAGAUGGAUCCGCGCCGCAUUAGCUAGUUGGUAAGGUAACGGCUUACCAAGGCAGCGAUGCGUAGCCGACCUGAAAGGGUGAUCGGCCACACUGGAACUGAGACACGGUCCAGACUCCUACGGGAGGCAGCAGUAGGGAAUCUUCCGCAAUGGGCGAAAGCCUGACGGAGCAACGCCGCGUGAGUGAUGAAGGUCUUCGGAUCGUAAAACUCUGUUAUUAGGGAAGAACAAAUGUGUAAGUAACUAUGCACGUCUUGACGGUACCUAAUCAGAAAGCCACGGCUAACUACGUG
rnacentral:rRNA from 1 species